rnacentral:tRNA from 1 species
GCCUGUUUGGCUCAGUGGCAGAGCGUCUGUCUCGUAAACAGAAGGUCGUCAGUUCAAUUCUGACAAUAGGCA